rnacentral:rRNA from 1 species
CACAUGCAAGUCGAGCGGUAACAUAUCUAGCUUGCUAGAUGAUGACGAGCGGCGGACGGGUGAGUACAACUUGGGAAUCUGCCUGAUGGAGGGGGACAACCACUGGAAACGGUGGCUAAUACCGCAUAAUCUCUUUGGAGCAAAGUGGGGGACCUUCGGGCCUCACGCCAUCAGAUGAGCCCAAGCAAGAUUAGCUAGUUGGUAGGGUAAAGGCCUACCAAGGCAACGAUCUUUAGCUGGUCUGAGAGGAUGAUCAGCCACACUGGGACUGAGACACGGCCCAGACUCCUACGGGAGGCAGCAGUGGGGAAUAUUGGACAAUGGGCGCAAGCCUGAUCCAGCCAUGCCGCGUGUGUGAAGAAGGCCUUCGGGUUGUAAAGCACUUUCAGUGGUGAGGAAGGGGAGUAAGUUAAUAGCUUAUUUCAUUGACGUUAGCCACAGAAGAAGCACCGGCUAACUCCGUGCCAGCAGCCGCGGUAAUACGGAGGGUGCGAGCGUUAAUCGGAAUUACUGGGCGUAAAGCGCACGUAGGCGGCUUGUUAAGCAAGAUGUGAAAGCCCAGGGCUCAACCUUGGAAUAGCAUUUUGAACUGGCAGGCUAGAGUUUUGAAGAGGGUGGUAGAAUUUCCAGUGUAGCGGUGAAAUGCGUAGAUAUUGGAAGGAAUACCAGUGGCGAAGGCGGCCACCUGGUCAAAAACUGA